GUCGAGGAUCUUCGGCAAUGGGCGCAAGCCUGACCGAGCGACGCCGCGUGCGCGAUGAAGGCCUUCGGGUUGUAAAGCGCUGUCGAGGGGGAGGAAAGCCGUAAGGUCUGACCUAUCCCUGGAGGAAGCACGGGCUAAGUUCGUGCCAGCAGCCGCGGUAAGACGAACCGUGCAAACGUUGUUCGGAAUCACUGGGCUUAAAGGGCGCGUAGGCGGGUGGUCAAGUCAGGGGUGAAAUCUUUCGGCUCAACCGGAAAACAGCCUCUGAUACUGACCGUCUUGAGCGAGGUAGGGGCAUGUGGAACUUCCGGUGGAGCGGUGAAAUGCGUUGAUAUCGGAAGGAACGCCGGUGGCGAAAGCGACGUGCUGGACCUCUUCUGACGCUGAGGCGCGAAAGCUAGGGGAGCGAACGGGAUUAGAAACCCUUGUAGUCC
rnacentral:rRNA from 1 species